GACGAACGCUGGCGGCGCGCUUAACACAUGCAAGUCGAACGGAAAGGCCUGCUUUCCCUUGUGGAUUGCGGGUACUCGAGUGGCGAACGGGUGAGUAACACGUGAGUGAUCUGCCCCCAACUUGGGUAUAAGCCUGGGAAACUGGGUCUAAUUCCCGAUCGGACUGCAGGGUGGUGCCUGUGGUGGAAAACGAUUUUCUAGUGGUUGGGGAUGAGCUGGCGGCCUUUCAGCUUGUUGGUGGGGUAAUGGCCUACCACGGCGGCGACGGGUAGCCGGCCCGAGAGGGUGGACGGCCGCAUUGGGACUGGGAUACGGCCCAGACGCCUGCGGGAGGUAGCAGUGGGGAAUAUUGGGCCAUGGGCGGAAGCCUGAUGCAGCGACGCCGCGUGGGGGAUGACGGCCUUCGGGUUGUAAACUCCUUUCGACCGCGAGGAAGCCACCUGGUUGGAAGGGUGGUGACGGUAGUGGUAGAAGAAGCACCGGCUAACUACGUG
rnacentral:rRNA from 1 species